GUGCCAGCAGCCGCGGUAAUACGGAGGGUGCAAGCGUUAAUCUUUAAUUACUGGGCGUAAAGCGCGCGUAGGCGGUUUGCUAAGUCAGAUGUGAAAUCCCCGGGCUUAACCUGGGAACUGCAUUUGAGACUGGCAGGCUAGAAUGUGGUAGAGGUGAGUGGAAUUCCAGGUGUAGCGGUGAAAUGCGUAGAGAUCUGGAGGAACAUCAGUGGCGAAGGCGACUCACUGGGCCAUUAUUGACGCUGAGGUGCGAAAGCGUGGGUAGCAAACAGGAUUAGAUACCCUGGUAGUCCACGCCCUAAACGAUGUCAACUAGGUGUAUGGAGAAUUUAUUCUUUGUGUAUCGAAGCUAACGCGAUAAGUUGACCGCCUGGGGAGUACGGUCGCAAGACUAAAACUCAAAUGAAUUGACGG
rnacentral:rRNA from 1 species